GGGAGGAAGAAGCUCCAGGGGAGCCUUGUUUAAAGACUGAAGGAAGGGGAACUAGCUGCCUUCAAAAACACUGUUCCUUUCCCCCAUUCAAGAUCCAACCUGUAGCUAAUGAUAUGGAAUGUCCAGGAGAUGCUGGCUGCUUCAGGGGUCAUGAAGAAUUCAUUAGGCCAUUCUCUCUAUCCUCCCUUGACCUUUGAGUGAAGACAAUAGCUAAGCAAGAGCUUUUGUCUCUGCUCCCCUGUCUGAGGCAGUGUCAAAUGUUGGACACUUGUUUGUUGGGGGAGAGGAGGAAGCAACUCAACUAAAUUCUUCAAGAUUUACUGAGUUUAUUAUGUGAAAGGUGUACACAAGACAUCGUGAACAAACUUGCCUUCUCAGAGCUUACAGUCUACUUGGACAGGGGAGAUAAGACAUGUAUAUAGCCAGAGAAUAUUCCCACUCUCUUUACACUCGUGCGGCAACUGGGUCCUCCAACCCUGAUUUUUGAGGA